CAGCAGCCGCGGUAAUACAGAGGGUGCAAGCGUUAAUCGGAAUUACUGGGCGUAAAGCGCGCGUAGGUGGUUCGCCAAGUUGGAUGUGAAAUCCCCGGGCUCAACCUGGGAACUGCAUCCAAAACUGGCGAGCUAGAGUAUGGUAGAGGGUGGUGGAAUUUCCUGUGUAGCGGUGAAAUGCGUAGAUAUAGGAAGGAACAUCAGUGGCGAAGGCGACCACCUGGACUGAUACUGACACUGAGGUGCGAAAGCGUGGGGAGCAAACAGGAUUAGAUACCCCCGUAGUCCCUGUCUCUUAUAA
rnacentral:rRNA from 1 species